UUUGUCCUACGGGGCGCAGCAGUGAGGAAUAUUGGUCAAUGGCCGAGAGGCAGAACCAGCCAAGUCGCGUGAGGGAAGACGGCCCUACGGGUUGUAAACCUCUUUUGUCAGGGAGCAAAGGGCGCCACGUGUGGCGCUUUGCGAGUACCUGAAGGAAAAGCAUCGGCUAACUCCGUGCCAGCAGCCGCGGUAAUACGGAGGAUGCGAGCGUUAUCCGGAUUUAUUGGGUUUAAGGGGUGCGCAGGCGGAAUGUCAAGUCAGCGGUAAAAUUUCGGGGCUCAACCCCGUCGUGCCGUUGAAACUGG
rnacentral:rRNA from 1 species